UGCUCUGCUAGGUGUGAUUUUCAACAAGUACGCUCAUUUUUCUGGUUCAGUUUUCCCUUUUUCCUACGCAUCUCUUCGACGUGAGCCGUGUGAUAUAUUACCCACCCAAAAACUAGGCGCUCGAGUGACUGAUGAGUGACUGGAUGGGCCACACUAAUGAGGGAACCGAGUGUUGGUCAGCAACUGUCACUUGGCAUGAAAAUGUAUGACAUUCGGCGCUUGUUUGAUUAGCCAGCGAAAUUGGAUGGCAACAAGAAUAUAUUUCGCUGUGUCUUUUGUGCUUACACCUUGCCUAUUUGACAAUUUUCGUGCUGUCGGUAGGUGAUCUUUGAAGAGUGUUCCCAGAAAGAACCCGCCGAUCAAAACGUGAAAGACGAGUACCGCUGACAGCCGUCUAUUAACUUCUGUGAACUCAAACAUCCGUCUAAGAGCCUAUUAGCAACCGGAGCUCAACUAUUCAUGAACACAAACAAACAAACCUCUCAGGAUACGCGGGCAUCAAGAGCCCGUAAUUAAGGUAACCUGAGCUAAUUUCCCGAGCACACCGCACCGCGACAGACAACAAUUGUCGCCAGAUUUCCAACCAUUGCUGCCAAACAACCCUUCCAGGCAGGAUGUCCAUCAUCUGACAGGCCCAUCCCAUCCCAACCCAACCCUUUGUGUCCUGGCCCCGUUGACAAGCGUUGAAAAAUAUCAAAUUUCAUGCAAUUUCAUUUUGAAGUGGUGGCAGGAGUUGCGAAGAGCGAACCAGGAGAAAGCCAACCAACGCAGAUUAAAAAUUUGUAAUAUGCCGACCUCUUUAUACCACUUAAGUUAUGUUAAAAGAUUUUAUAAAAAGAAAAAAUUACUAAAAUACAAUUGCAAAAUUUUUAA